rnacentral:rRNA from 1 species
AUUGAACGCUAGCGGGAUGCUCUACACAUGCAAGUCGAACGGCAGCGCGGACUUCGGUCUGGCGGCGAGUGGCGAACGGGUGAGUAAUGUAUCGGAACGUGCCCAGUAGCGGGGGAUAACUACGCGAAAGCGUAGCUAAUACCGCAUACGCCCUACGGGGGAAAGCAGGGGAUCGUAAGACCUUGCACUAUUGGAGCGGCCGAUAUCGGAUUAGCUAGUUGGUGAGGUAACGGCUCACCAAGGCGACGAUCCGUAGCUGGUUUGAGAGGACGACCAGCCACACUGGGAUUGAGACACGGCCCAGACUCCUACGGGAGGCAGCAGUGGGGAAUUUUGGACAAUGGGGGCAACCCUGAUCCAGCCAUCCCGCGUGUGCGAUGAAGGCCUUCGGGUUGUAAAGCACUUUUGGCAGGAAAGAAACGUCGCGGGCUAAUACCCCGUGGAACUGACGGUACCUGCAGAAUAAGCACCGGCUAACUACGUG